GGGAGAUCACCUGGAGGCUGUUGUCACAGACCAUGCAUCCCAUAAGGGGGUGACAUCACCCCCAAAGUGGCAAAAUUGGUUCUUGGAGCGUGCCAGAAAUCUUACCUUUAUGUUUAAAGGCAUAAAAAUACACACAGCAUAGAAACAGACACACAGUCUAUCUGUGGCAUUGCAAUUUCAUAGGGGCAGGUGAUUAGGAAAAGACUUCUUGACAGGGAAUAAUGAAAAGAAGAUUGGCCGACACUGACCUAUGCUGUGCAGGCCGUGUGAAAACACAGAAUGACACACAGGGAAGAAGUCCUUGUGAAGACAGAGGCAGAGGCGGAGGCGAUGCAGCCACAAGCCAAGGAAUGCCAAGGAUUGCCUGGAGCCCCAGGAGCAAGGAGGGAUCCUCUUGCGGAGCCUUCAGAGGGAGCACUGCCCUGCAACAUCUCGAUUUUGGAUUUCCAGCCUCUAGAACUGUGAAAGAAUAAAUCCCUUGUUUUAAGUC